rnacentral:lncRNA from 1 species
UAUUACGCGGGCCUCACAGUCUUAAUCCCCAUUUUACAGAUGAGGGAGCUGAGGGCCAGAGAAGUGACUCGCCCAGAGUGCCGGAGCCCGGGAUUCGAACCCACGACCUCUGACUUCCAAGCCCGGGCUCUUUCCACUGGGCCACGCUGCUUCUUUCGAUAUAGUUUGUUGUUCACGGUGUUAUUGGAACCCAGGGAUUCGCCAGCAUCCCGCCAAUUUAAUGAGCAGUAAUUUUAUUUUCCAAAUGAAUUCACCGCUUGGACUUCCUGAACGCCUUCCUUUAGAAUCGAACUCCAGAAAAUUAGAUGACGAAUCCUCCCUCCUCGACCCCUGCCCGGAUUAAAUUGCUUUCCGCUGUCUAAGUUAUGAUCACAGUCAGAGCCCGCGGGAUCUUCCGGCACUGAACUUUAAAUCAGUAGGGUAGCUUUGAUAUUAUUAUUAUAUUGGAAUUCCUAAAUCUUCAUUUACAGAGUGCAGAGGGAUUUCUUCUAGAUUUCCUAACGUUCGUACUUUUUCCCCACUGCUUCUUUACGCACCUGCAGGUAAAACUCUCCUGCCAACUCCAGCUAAAUCCAGGGCAACUUUAUCAAAUAAACUUGUUCUCAUUGACCGCGCGGCAGGAUUAUCGUUAUUGGUAACCAGGACAAUCACGGACUAAAGCAAUUCCAAAUUUAAGACUCAAAAUGACUUAAUUACGAGUCCUGUAGCUCCGGUGUUACAAAUUAAGCUGCUUCUCUUGGACAUCAAAAAUGCAUCCCGGAAGAUAAGGGAGGGGACGAGCCCCCGGAGAUGUGGAAAUGUAGAUAUUUCAAUCAUUUGGGGUCCUGGGUGGUGUGGGCUUAAGGCAGUGAAUGGUAGGGAAGAGGGAGGAUGGUGGCUCAAGUUAAGAAAGAAAAGGAGAAACAGUACGGCCUAGUGAAGAGAGCAGGGGCCUCGGAGUCGGAGGACCUGAGUUCUAAUCCGGACAUACGUGGAUGCUGUGUGACCCUGGGUAAGUCAUUUCAUUUCUCUGGGUCUCAGUUCCCUCCUCCGUAAAGUGUGCGUUCAAUCCCCGUUCCCACCUCCCAUUUAGAUUAUGAGCGCCGUGUGGGACGGGGGGUCUGUGUUUGACCUUAAUUAUCUCAAAUCUACCCCAGCUCUCAGUACAGUGCUCGGCCCAGACUAGG